rnacentral:rRNA from 1 species
UGAGUACGAGACGCUAAGGCGUCGAAGUAGUGUAUGUCAUACUUCCAAGAAAAGCUUGCACUGUCAUUCAUAAAAAAUGCCUGUACCAUAACCGACACAGGUGGGUAGGUAGAGUAUACUAAGGGGCGCGAGAUAACUCUCUCUAAGGAACUCGGCAAAAUAACUCCGUAACUUCGGGAGAAGGAGUGCCUUAUUUAUAUAAGGUUGCAAUAACAAGAUCCAAGCAACUGUUUACCAAAAACACAGGUCUCCGCUAAGUCGUAAGACGAUGUAUGGGGGCUGACGCCUGCCCAGUGCCAGAAGGUUAAAGAAGUUGGUUAGCAAUAGCGAAGCUGAUAACUGAAGCCCUGGUGAACGGCGGCCGUAACAAUAACGGUCCUAAGGUAGCGAAAUUCCUUGUCGGGUAAGUUCCGACCCGCACGAAAGGCGUAAUGAUUUGGAUACUGUCUCGGAGAGGGACUCGGUGAAAUAGACUUGUCUGUGAAGAUGCGGACUACCUGCACCUGGACAGAAAGACCCUAUGAAGCUUUACUGUAACUUGAAAUUGAAAUUGGACUUUAUUCGCGCAGUAUAGGUGGGAGGCGUUGAAAAUUAUCUUGCGGGACUAUUGGAGCCAUCAGUGAGAUACCACUCUUAUAAUGUUAGAUUUCUAACUUUGAAUCAUUAUCUGGUCAAAGAACAGUUUCAGGCGGGCAGUUUGACUGGGGCGGUCGCCUCCCAAACGGUAACGGAGGCAUACAAAGGUUUCCUCUGAACGGGUAGAAAUCGUAUCUAGAGUAUAAAGGCAAAAGGAAGCUUGACUGUGAGACCUACAAGUCGAGCAGGGACGAAAGUCGGUCUUAGUGAUCUGACGGUACUGAGUGGAAAGGCCGUCACUCAACGGAUAAAAGUUACUCUAAGGAUAACAGGCUGAUCUCCCCCAAGAGUUCACAUCGACGGGGAGGUUUGGCACCUCGAUGUCGGCUCAUCGCAUCCUGGGGCGGUAGUACGUCCCAAGGGUUGGGCUGUUCGCCCAUGAAAGCGGUACGCGAGCUGGGUUCAGAACGUCGUGAGACAGUUCGGUCCAUAUCCGGUGUAGGCGUUAGAAUAUUGAGAGGAGCCUUCUUUAGUACGAGAGGACCGAGAAGGACAUACCUCUGGUGUACCAGUUAUCGUGCCAACGGUAAACGCUGGGUAGCUAUGUAUGGAGUGGAUAACCGCUGAAAGCAUCUAAGUGGGAAGCCCACCUCAAGAUGAGUAUUCUCAUC